rnacentral:rRNA from 1 species
CUACGGGCCGCUGCAGUGGGGAAUCUUAGACAAUGGGGGAAACCCUGAUCUAGCCAUGCCGCGUGAGCGACGACGGCCCUAGGGUUGUAAAGCUCUUUCAGCAGGGAAGAUAAUGACGGUACCUGCAGAAGAAGUCCCGGCUAACUCCGUGCCAGCAGCCGCGGUAAUACGGAGGGGACUAGCGUUGUUCGGAAUUACUGGGCGUAAAGCGCGCGUAGGCGGAUUGUUAAGUCGGGGGUGAAAUCCCGGGGCUCAACCCCGGAACUGCCCUCGAUACUGGCAGUCUUGAGUUCGAGAGAGGUGAGUGGAAUUCCGAGUGUAGAGGUGAAAUUCGUAGAUAUUCGGAGGAACACCAGUGGCGAAGGCGGCUCACUGGCUCGAUACUGACGCUGAGGUGCGAAAGCGUGGGGAGCAAACAGGAUUAGAUACCCUUGUAGUC